rnacentral:lncRNA from 1 species
AAAUAGUAUUUUGAACUUUUGGGUAAAGGCUUAAGUUUUAAGAUAUGUGUCUGUGUGUAUUUUUUAAAUAGCAGGCAUUUUACUUUUAUUUGAUUUUCAGUUGUGGCUGAACUGUUAGUAUACUACUAAUGCUAAAUGAAAGAUCCUUUUGAGGACUACUUAUACGGCCAUACGUAGCCCAGGCUUGCCUCAAACUCACUAUGUAGUUGAGGGUGACCUUAAAAUGAGGACCCUCCUGCCUGCCCUCCACCUCUCAGGUGCUGGGGUGCAGCGGUGCACUAGCAUGCCCAGGUUACACAGUGCUUGGGAUGUUAGAGCUUCUACAUGGACACAAACUACCUGCUGAGACCCAUGUCCUAGCCCCUUACGCCACACCGUGUCAUGUAACACAAUGGAGUACAAAAUUACUUGAAUGAUACUAACUUAUCUUUAUGAAGUAUAGUGCAGUGAUCAUGGGACCCUUUUCCUGAUUAAUGCCAACCUAAGCUAAUUCUUUUAUCCUACAAAAAACCUAACAGCUAUUAAAAUAAACGUUCAAUGACUGUAUCUAUGGUAUAGCUCCUCAAACAGGAAUUCUAGCUACAACUGUUCUUGGUUUGCUCUAGAGUUCCAGGAUUGACUAUUGCUCAUCACAUCCCUGCCCCUGCCACUGUGACUUCUGUUGUGAGUCCUCCUUGCUGUCAUCUGCUUGUCAGCUGUGACACGACAAAGUGUUCUUCCUCAUUAGCCACACCAAGAUGCUUACAUAAUUCCUAUACCUAGUUCUAAACUUGGUUAUUAACAGGUAUUUUUAGUGGGGAAUUAACAUACACCUACCUUCUGUUCAACCCUUUGGGAACGUCACAGUGAUGAAUAGAAAUACUAGUAAGAUACAGGUGAUUUACAAUCUAUACUUACUCACUACAAAGUUGAUAAAUGAGUAAAAGUUGUUUACCCUUCCAAACUUAAGUCUUACAGUCAGACAGACCAUAAAAAGGUGUUAAACCAAACCAGAGUUACCUGGUUUAAUAGCUGGUGUGGGAGUAAUGAAAUCUUAGAAGAAACAGCAACUAAGUAGUGUGUUAAAAAAGAAAGAGGUUGGGGAUCAUAUGUGCUACUAGAAAAAAAGUCUUAGUGUUUAAGCACAUAGACUUUCCUAUGGAGGACAGAGAUGAUUUCAAACCCAGGACAGUAACAUAGUUAAGCUCUUCAGAAGAACAGUCAAGAUUAAGAUCGGUAGAGACUCCCAGGAACUGUUGUCCAGAGAAUCAAUCCUAGAAUUUUAUGAUCAAACAUCAAAAAAAAAAGACUUAAGGAAGGUUUGAGAAUAAAACUGCCAGCCUGAAGGUUCUUACUGCAUGAGUACCAGGGAAACUUAUAACCUGUUUGACAGAGAAACAGUGAUCAUUUUUUUUUCUUUAAAAGACUGGAUCUCAUGUAGCCCAGGCUCACCUCAAACCUGCUAUAUAGGCAAGGAUGACUUUAAAAUUCUGUUUCUCCUGCUUCCACCAUUACUAGGAUAACAGGUAUACACACCACACCUGGUUUAUGCAGUGCUGGGUACAAAACCCAGGGCUUCAUAUAUGCCCGACAAGCACUCCAACAACAGCGUAAUAUACACCUAUAGCCAGGAGUCAGGCCAUCAAUAAGAUAGGGAGAAUCAAUCCUUUGACAAAACGCUACUGUCUAGAGCUAUCACUUCUUUAGGUAAGAGGAUAUCACUCCAGCCUUAGCUAGAAUCUUCGUAACUAUCAGUUGGCAAGGUCCUUAAUUACAUUAAUUUCCUGUAUUUUUAGAGCCCCAAGAUGCUACUAGUAAAAUCUACUUCUGUCCCCUAAAGAUCUCUCAAAGUAAAGGUAGUCUCUUCUAAAUAAGAAGUUAAGCACUUAAGGAAAAUUCAGCCAGCCUAAUGAACCAACAAUGAAGAAACAAAUUCAUGAAAGAGAGGAAGGCAGUGGUACCACCUGAUAUGUUCCAGGGCUCUCGGGGGAGGAAAGGAACAAUGAUCUGGGGUCACAAGAAAGAAGAACAACACUAACUACACUGACACUUCAGACAUACAGUCAAGAGGCAGAAAAAACAUUCCCAAAGAGCAGACUAUAUCCUUAUCUGGUACACUUCACUUUAAACAAAUACAAACAAAAAUUUAAGGAGAAUUAUAAAAGAUGAAUAGAAGGAAUACAAUCACUUAUAUAGAUGGUUACCAUAGUUAUGGUAGCUAAGUGAUAUAAACUGUAUAAGUAUACAGAUGAUUUAGAAAAGAAUUAAAUAUUACUUCUCUUCUGCCCUCCUGCUAUACUACCUGAUUAAGAACAAAACUUUGGGGGCUGGAGAGAUGGCUCAUCGGUUAAGAGCACUGACUGUUCUUCCAAAGGUCCUGAGUUCAAUUCCCAGCAACCACAUGGUGGCUCACAACCAUCUGUAAUAAGACCCGAUGCCCUCUUUUGGAGUGUCUGAAGACAGCUACAACAUACUCACAUUAAAUAAAUCUUUUUUUAAAAAAAGAACAAAUAUUCAUAAAAUGUUAUGCAUCAGUUAUUUUUAAAUAUAGUAAUUAGUCAUGGAAAGAUGAAUCGGACC